UUGGUGUGUGUAUGUGUUGGAAAAUGAAUGAGUUCAGUUUGGGACAACCAUGAAGACCCCGCAGACAGUUAAGAUACUGUUAUGAGGUUCCCUUACAUUCUAAAAUGUUACCUUUAGUUCUUUGAAGUCAAUUCUGCACCCCACUCUUUGCUCUAUACCCAGACAGUAGCACAGACCGGUGUUCAGUAAUGACGGAUGGACAAGGGGUGGGAGAACCGUGGCGAGUGGCCAGUGCCUGCUGCGAUGCUUGUGCAUGAAGACUCAUCCUAAGUGAAGAACCACACAGUUCCACUAGGGGGAACUGAUUUUUUUCAUACCCUGCAGAAACUCAACCACCUGUUAGAGGAGGAGAACAGAGCAGGAAGGAGAUAUGUUGUGGGAAGGAAAGAUCAACUUGAGUUUGUCUUCUUAGUGCCUUUUCUCAGGGAAGAGGCCAUCACUUUAAGAUGCUGACUCUCCUACUCCUUCUCCUGGGACAAGGUUCUGUGUUUGGUGCUGUCGUCUCUCAAAAGCCAAGCAGGGGCAUCUGUCAACGUGGAACCUCCAUGACAAUCCAGUGUCAUGUUGAUAGCCAAGUCAACUUGAUGUUCUGGUACCGUCAGCUCCCCAGACAGAGCAUGACACUGAUUGCAACUGCAAAUCAGGGCUCUGGGGCCACAUAUGAGAAAGGAUUUGCUGGAGACAAGUUUCCCAUUAGCCGCCCAAGUCUAACAUUCUCAACUCUGAAUGUGAGCAACAUGAGUCCCGAAGACAGCGGCAUAUACUUCUGCAGUGCUGGAGACACAGUGCUGGGCACAGAUCAAAGAUCUGAGCAAGAACCUUAGCUCCCUCCUACCCAGCUCCCCUCACAUGAGCCUGAGGGCCCUGCCAAGGUGAAACGGAGGGAGGAAACCACAGCUCUUGGGCAGACACAGCUGUUUCUGUGCUUGCGGGUGAGCAUGGGUAUGAAUGGGUAGACUGGGGAUAAGAAGAGCAUCUCUAGGACUAGCUGGAGAGUUCUGUCCACAGCAGGAAGAGUGGCUCCUGGAAAGUUGAGGGUAAAAUUUCUUCGAGAUGAAUGCUCAGAAAUACCCAACAAAAACAAUCAGAUACAGUUUUCUUCAAAUGGCAGGGUCAGUCAUAGCUUUUAACUGUUUUAUCUCCACGCUCUGUUUAGCUGGUGUUUGAUCACAAUAUAUUUUGGAAGAACUUUAGUCAUCUUGAAACAAAGCUGGUACAUUACAUUGAUGACAUCUGGUUGUUCUCAGUGAAUAGGAAUUAUAAAGUCCUCUAGAUGCCUUGAUAUGACACAUGCAUCCCAAGUCAAUAUAAAAUCUUCAAAGUUCAGGAACCUUCUAUAAUGGUGAGUUUGGGAGUGGUCCG